CCAACGUUAAUCGGGGCAGGGUGAGUCGACCCCUAAGGCGAGGCCGAAAGGCGUAGUCGAUGGGAAACAGGUUAAUAUUCCUGUACUUGGUGUUACUGCGAAGGGGGGACGGAGAAGGCUAUGUUGGCCGGGCGACGGUUGUCCCGGUUUAAGCGUGUAGGCUGGUUUUCCAGGCAAAUCCGGAAAAUCAAGGCUGAGGCGUGAUGACGAGGCACUACGGUGCUGAAGCGACAAAUGCCCUGCUUCCAGGAAAAGCCUCUAAGCAUCAGGUAACAUCAAAUCGUACCCCAAACCGACACAGGUGGUCAGGUAGAGAAUACCAAGGCGCUUGAGAGAACUCGGGUGAAGGAACUAGGCAAAAUGGUGCCGUAACUUCGGGAGAAGGCACGCUGAUAUGUAGGUGAAGCGACUUGCUCGUGGAGCUGAAAUCAGUCGAAGAUACCAGCUGGCUGCAACUGUUUAUUAAAAACACAGCACUGUGCAAACACGAAAGUGGACGUAUACGGUGUGACGCCUGCCCGGUGCCGGAAGGUUAAUUGAUGGGGUUAGCGGUAACGCGAAGCUCUUGAUCGAAGCCCCGGUAAACGGCGGCCGUAACUAUAACGGUCCUAAGGUAGCGAAAUUCCUUGUCGGGUAAGUUCCGACCUGCACGAAUGGCGUAAUGAUGGCCAGGCUGUCUCCACCCGAGACUCAGUGAAAUUGAACUCGCUGUGAAGAUGCAGUGUACCCGCGGCAAGACGGAAAGACCCCGUGAACCUUUACUAUAGCUUGACACUGAACAUUGAGCCUUGAUGUGUAGGAUAGGUGGGAGGCUUUGAAGUGUGGACGCCAGUCUGCAUGGAGCCGACCUUGAAAUACCACCCUUUAAUGUUUGAUGUUCUAACGUGGGCCCCUUACCGGGGUUGCGGACAGUGUCUGGUGGGUAGUUUGACUGGGGCGGUCUCCUCCUAAAGAGUAACGGAGGAGCACGAAGGUUGGCUAAUCCUGGUCGGACAUCAGGAGGUUAGUGCAAUGGCAUAAGCCAGCUUGACUGCGAGCGUGACGGCGCGAGCAGGUGCGAAAGCAGGUCAUAGUGAUCCGGUGGUUCUGAAUGGAAGGGCCAUCGCUCAACGGAUAAAAGGUACUCCGGGGAUAACAGGCUGAUACCGCCCAAGAGUUCAUAUCGACGGCGGUGUUUGGCACCUCGAUGUCGGCUCAUCACAUCCUGGGGCUGAAGUAGGUCCCAAGGGUAUGGCUGUUCGCCAUUUAAAGUGGUACGCGAGCUGGGUUUAGAACGUCGUGAGACAGUUCGGUCCCUAUCUGCCGUGGGCGCUGGAGAACUGAGGGGGGCUGCUCCUAGUACGAGAGGACCGGAGUGGACGCAUCACUGGUGUUCGGGUUGUCAUGCCAAUGGCACUGCCCGGUAGCUAAAUGCGGAAGAGAUAAGUGCUGAAAGCAUCUAAGCACGAAACUUGCCCCGAGAUGAGUUCUCCCUGACUCCUUGAGAGUCCUGAAGGAACGUUGAAGACGACGACGUUGAUAGGCCGGGUGUGUAAGCGCAGCGAUGCGUUGAGCUAACCGGUACUAAUGAACCGUGAGGCUUAACCUUACAACGCCGAAG
rnacentral:rRNA from 1 species